rnacentral:rRNA from 1 species
UACGGAGGGUGCAAGCGUUAAUCGGAAUUACUGGGCGUAAAGCGCGCGUAGGCGGCUUUGUUAAGUCGAAUGUGAAAGCCCCCGGGCGUCAACCUGGGAACUGCAUCCGAUACUGGCUGGCUAGAGUGUGGUAGAGGGAAGUGGAAUUCCAGGUGUAGCGGUGAAAUGCGUAGAUAUCUGGGGGGAACAUCAGUGGCGAAGGCGGCUUCCUGGACCAACACUGACGCUGAGACGCGAAAGCU